GGAAAAACUAAAGCUAGCCCUUGGCGAGGAGACAUUUGUUAGGUUGGGGUUUUGUGACAUGGGAGAGGUAGUGGCAGAAAAAUGGAGUGAAGAGGAAGAGGAACUAUUUCAUGAGGUUGUAUUGUCCAAUCCUGCCUCGUUAGGCAAUAAUUUUUGGAACCAUCUUGCAGUUGAGUUUCCUUCACGGCGUAGGGAAGAACUUGUCAGCUAUUAUUUUAAUGUCUUUAUUUUGCGAAAACGUGCCGAGCAGAACAGAUUUGAUCCACUGAACAUAGACAGUGAUAAUGAUGAGUGGCAUGACGCAGUUGAUGAUGCUGACGAGGCAGCUAAAAUGACAGAUGAAGAUGAGGACUCUGUGGUUGAAUCUCCAGCACAUCAUAAUGGUCUCAGCUACAAUAUGAUCCAUGAGGAGCGCGAUAGACGAACAUAUGAUGAGGAUGCGCAUGAAGCAAUAUGUGAAGAUUAUAAGCCUGUAAAUUUCGGUAGCAGGAAGGUCUUCACUGAUGUGCAGGAAUCAUGUCCUAGUAAGUUUUUUGAUAGUAACAACAGUUUUAAAGUUGGCAUGCAGCCUCAAGACCAAGGACUAUCAAGUAAAGUGGUUGAGUCCUGUACAACUGAUGCAGCUGGGGUUACUUCAGAAUCAUCACUAGGGAAGACUAACAAUGAUAACCAUUGGGCAAGUGAUAUUGCUGGA
rnacentral:misc_RNA from 1 species